GACGAACGCUGGCGGCGUGCUUAACACAUGCAAGUCGAACGAUGAACCCGGGGCUUGCUCCGGCGGAUUAGUGGCGAACGGGUGAGUAACACGUGAGUAACCUGCCCUUGACUCUGGGAUAACUGCUAGAAAUGGUAGCUAAUACCGGAUACGACCCUCGGUGGCAUCACCAGGGGGUGGAAAGAAUUUCGGUCAAGGAUGGACUCGCGGCCUAUCAGCUAGUUGGUGAGGUAACGGCUCACCAAGGCGACGACGGGUAGCCGGCCUGAGAGGGUGAUCGGCCACACUGGGACUGAGACACGGCCCGGACUCCUACAGGAGGCAGCAGUGGGGAAUAUUGCACAAUGGGCGCAAGCCUGAUGCAGCAACGCCGCGGGAGGGAUGACGGCCUUCGGGUUGUAAACCUCUUUUAGUAGGGAAGAAGCGAAAGUGACGGUACCUGCAGAAAAAGCACCGGCUAACUACGUGCCAGCAGCCGCCGUAA
rnacentral:rRNA from 1 species